rnacentral:rRNA from 1 species
AUUCGGGGGGCCUACGGGAGGCAGCAGUGGGGAAUUUUGGACAAUGGGCGAAAGCCUGAUCCAGCAAUGCCGCGUGCAGGAUGAAGGCCUUCGGGUUGUAAACUGCUUUUGUACGGAACGAAAAAGCUCCUUCUAAUACAGGGGGCCCAUGACGGUACCGUAAGAAUAAGCACCGGCUAACUACGUGCCAGCAGCCGCGGUAAU